rfam:Nicotiana attenuata strain TT chromosome 1, whole genome shotgun sequence.
GUGUUGGUAGAAAGGAGAGAUGAUUGGCAUCUCCCAGACAGGGACGGUAACAUCUUUUGAGCUUUACCUGUUGUCAGGCAAAAGGGCAUGACAUUUGAUGUAUGGCUCGAUAGAGACCAAAUAAUAGACGAGGAUAUUUU